GACGAACGCUGGCGGCGUGCUUAACACAUGCAAGUCGAACGGUGAAGCGCCUUCCUUUUUGGUGGGUGUGGAUGAGUGGCGAACGGGUGAGUAACACGUGAGUAACCUGCCCCCUUCUUCUGGAUAACCGCAUGAAAGUGUGGCUAAUACGGGAUAUUCUGGGUCUGUCGCAUGAUGGGUCUGGGAAAGAUAUUGUUUCGGUGGGGGAUGGGCUCGUGGCCUAUCAGCUUGUUGGUGGGGUGAUGGCCUACCAAGGCGGUGACGGGUAGCCGGCCUGAGGGGGUGGGGGGUGAGAGGGGGACUGGGAAACGUGCGAGUGUCCUACGGGGCAGAGGGGUGGGGGAGAGAGCAGUGGGGGCGAAAGCCUGAUGGGGCGACGCCGGGUGAGGGGGGGAGGCGUGGGGGGUGAAGGCCUUUGGGGCGGGAAAAGCAGGCGCGCGGGGUGUGGGGGGGGUGACGGGGUAGGGAGAAAAAACGCCGGCGCACACUGCG
rnacentral:rRNA from 1 species